GUAUUGAUUGCGUGUGAUCGCAAAAGUAAGACAUUCUACACAUUUCAUUAAAAGGGUGUCUAUGUAAAAACGUGAAGACCCCCCUCAGAACUAGCCAAAAGGGGUCCCCACGCGGUGAUGCACAAGAGGGGUGAGAUGGAUUAUGUGUGAGAGCACCAAGGUGUGCACGACCUUUUCAAAAGUCAGCGACAACCCCAGCCCCAGCACCUCCAUUGUAUGAUAAUGAUCCUUCCGCAGGUUCACCUACGGAAA
rnacentral:misc_RNA from 1 species